rnacentral:tRNA from 1 species
GCAUGGUUGGUUUAGUGGCAUAAUUACCGCCUGCCAGAGAGGCUGUCCGCGGUAGACCCGGGUUCGAUUCCCGGACCAUGCA